rnacentral:tRNA from 1 species
ANAAUCCGUCGACUUUAAAANUCGUGAGGGUUCAAGUCCCUCUAUCCCCA